rnacentral:lncRNA from 1 species
AGCUUAAGAGGAUUAUUAGUAGUUGCCACCAUCCAGUUGUUGUCUUCAUUUUGGCUGGGUGUCUUCUUGACGUGGGAGGCGUGUAUCCAAGCAGCGAUCCCAUCCACCUUUACUGCCAUGGGGGUGGUCAGCAACACCAGAUAUGGUCCUUUCCACCGAGGCUCCAAGGUGCCAGCUCGAUGUCGUCUGACUAAGACCGAAUCUCCAACCUGGAACCUGUGGGGCACCUCUGAAGUUCCCGGAUCACUCGCCCAUCCAUAGUCCGCGCUACCCCAUCAAAGCUGAAUUCUUGAGCUUGUUUUCUGCAAACCAUAUCUUCUAAUAUUUUAAAAUCAUUGGCUGAAUAAAUGUGGUUAGAGUCAUC